UGUGCCAGCAGCCGCGGUAAUACGUAGGGUGCAAGCGUUAAUCGGAAUUACUGGGCGUAAAGCGUGCGCAGGCGGUUUUGUAAGUCUGUCGUGAAAUCCCCGGGCUCAACCUGGGAAUUGCGAUGGAGACUGCAAGGCUAGAAUCUGGCAGAGGGGGGUAGAAUUCCACGUGUAGCAGUGAAAUGCGUAGAGAUGUGGAGGAACACCGAUGGCAAAGGCAGCCCCCUGGGUCAAGAUUGACGCUCAUGCACGAAAGCGUGGGGAGCAAACAGGAUUA
rnacentral:rRNA from 1 species